AGGCCGUAUUGGAUCAAAACGGGAACCUGAUUCAGCAAGUGAACGAGAACCACCAGUCCAUGGUACCAGAUAAUCUCACCAAGAACGUGUCCUUUAUUCGCGAGAUUAAUGGAAAUAUCUCCAAGGUCAUCUCCAUUUACUCCGAUUUAUCUCUCAAGUUCUCCAAAGUUGUGCAGGAACGGCGUCGCAUUAAGAACGAAAGCAGUGUGGAGAGAUCCGAUUCCUGAAUUUCGAUCGAUGAAUUUUAAGUAAUCUCAACUACCUUUAUUUAUCUUAUUGGUCGAUUAAUAAGCAUUUUGUAUGAGGUCGUGUCAGGGUCUUAUUGGAUUCCCAAGUGUUUGUGGUGUAGUGAGUCGGUGAGUCUUAGUUAUGCUUACUGUGUGGUGUGGUCUCUUUAACUAUGCUAGCGUGUUGCGGUUACGGUGGUUGUGGCGGUGGACGCCAUAACAAUAAUGGUUUGCUUAUGUGGUCUUUGUUCUUAUGUUUGUUUGUGUUUUUUAAGGAUGAUUUCAUGGCUGCGGG
rnacentral:misc_RNA from 1 species